CAGACAUUUAAAGUGCCCCUACAUGGAGGGGGCUCCCACAUCUGGAGCCAGUGUUAUUAGUGUUAAUAA
rnacentral:lncRNA from 1 species